GACGAACGCUGGCGGCGUGCUUAACACAUGCAAGUCGAACGAUGAACCGGGUGCUUGCACCUGGGGAUUAGUGGCGAACGGGUGAGUAACACGUGAGUAACCUGCCCUGGACUCUGGGAUAACUCCGAGAACUCGGUGCUAAUACCGGAUAGGACCUCGAACCGCAUGGGUUGGGGUGGAAAGUUUUUUCGGUCUGGGAUGGACUCGCGGCCUAUCAGCUUGUUGGUGAGGUAAUGGCUCACCAAGGCGUCGACGGGUAGCCGGCCUGAGAGGGUGACCGGCCACACUGGGACUGAGACACGGCCCAGACUCCUACGGGAGGCAGCAGUGGGGAAUAUUGCACAAUGGGCGCAAGCCUGAUGCAGCAACGCCGCGUGCGGGAUGACGGCCUUCGGGUUGUAAACCGCUUUUAGUAAGGAAGAAGCCUUCGGGUGACGGUACUUGCAGAAAAAGGACCGGCUAACUACGUGCCAGCCGCCGCAGUAAAAC
rnacentral:rRNA from 1 species